rnacentral:misc_RNA from 1 species
GGGUAUCUAAUGGACUGCACGCAUAUAUACACGCAUGAGAGGGAAAAGCUUAUCAGAAAAGGAAAGAAAGACCACACAGAUUUUGUGUGCUUUGAAUUCUUUUGAAGGUAAAUCUCAGUUGUAAAUAGGCUACGGUGGAUUUUGUAAAAUUUAUCGGAAAUUUUCGCUCGAAACCGAGUCAGGCGCCUGAGUUCAAUUUUGACAGAAUUCCGCUUCUCGGAUUU